UACGGAGGAUGCAAGCGUUAUCCGGAAUGAUUGGGCGUAAAGCGUCCGCAGGUGGCAAUGUAAGUCUGCUGUCAAAGCGUCUGGCUCAACCAGAUAAAGGCAGUGGAAACUACAUAGCUAGAGUAAGGUAGGGGUAGAGGGAAUUCCUGGUGUAGCGGUGAAAUGCGUAGAGAUCAGGAAGAACACCGGUGGCGAAAGCGCUCUGCUGGACCAGCACUGACACUGAGGCACGAAAGCGUGGGGAGCAAACAGG
rnacentral:rRNA from 1 species